rnacentral:rRNA from 1 species
AGGUCCCGAGCGUGAGGCGGAAUCACUGGGCUAAAGCGUGUGUAGGCGGACUUCUAAGUACCUUGUGAAAUCCCACGGCUUAACCGUGGAACUGCUUGGUAUACUGGUUGUCUUGGGCCACUUAGGGGCUACCGGAACAAACGGUGGAGCGGUGAAAUGCGUAGAUAUCGUUUGGAACGCCAAUGGUGAAAACAGGUAGCUGGGAGUGUGCCGACGCUGAGACACGAAAGCCAGGGGAGCGAACGGG